rnacentral:rRNA from 1 species
AUUGAACGCUGGCGGCAUGCCUUACACAUGCAAGUCGAACGGUAACAGGUCUUCGGAUGCUGACGAGUGGCGAACGGGUGAGUAAUACAUCGGAACGUGCCCGAUCGUGGGGGAUAACGCAGCGAAAGCUGUGCUAAUACCGCAUACGAUCUACGGAUGAAAGCGGGGGAUCGCAAGACCUCGCGCGGACGGAGCGGCCGAUGGCAGAUUAGGUAGUUGGUGGGAUAAAAGCUUACCAAGCCGACGAUCUGUAGCUGGUCUGAGAGGACGACCAGCCAGACUGGGACUGAGACACGGCCCAGACUCCUACGGGAGGCAGCAGUGGGGAAUUUUGGGCAAUGGGCGCAAGCCUGAUCCAGCCAUGCCGCGUGCAGGAUGAAGGCCUUCGGGUUGUAAACUGCUUUUGUACGGAACGAAAAAGCUCUCUCUAAUACAGGGGGUGAAUGACGGUACCGUAAGAAUAAGCACCGGCUAACUACGUGCCAGCCGCCGCCGUAAGAC